rnacentral:rRNA from 2 species
GUCAAUGAUCUUUAGGGGUCCUGAGAGGGAGAUCCCCCACACUGGUACUGAGACACGGACCAGACUCCUACGGGAGGCAGCAGUGAGGAAUAUUGGACAAUGGGUGAAAGCCUGAUCCAGCCAUCCCGCGUGAAGGAUGACGGUCCUAUGGAUUGUAAACUUCUUUUGUACAGGGAUAAACCUACUCUCGUGAGGGUAGCUGAAGGUACUGUACGAAUAAGCACCGGCUAACUCCGUGCCAGCAGCCGCGGUAAUACGGAGGGUGCAAGCGUUAUCCGGAUUUAUUGGGUUUAAAGGGUCCGUAGGCGGGCCUGUAAGUCAGUGGUGAAAUCUCAUAGCUUAACUAUGAAACUGCCAUUGAUACUGCAGGUCUUGAGUAAAUUUGAAGUGGCUGGAAUAAGUAGUGUAGCGGUGA